CAGAUGGGAGUUUUACUUACACAAAAGGGUUCUGAGGGCAGAAAGAAAACUGAUUGGUUCAGAGAAACAACCAAUCAAUUUAAAGAAGAGGCGGGGGAAAAGGCAGGAUCUGCUAAAUGAAAAAAAAGACCGGGCAGUUGGAUCCAGCCAUCUUUGAGGAGUGAAAAAUCACAGUUUUUGAAGGGAAUUAUUGAGAAAAUGAAUGUGUUACAAGAUUUGAGGUCAGGAGGACUUUAUAUACAGGAUGCAAGACUUGGAAGUGUUGGGCCUUAUCCACUUUACAUGGAAAGUUUUGAAACCCUUGUGGAGUGCAACAAAGUAUCUGACGAGAAAGACCCUAAAAGCUGUGGAAAAAGCUUUGGAGACGAACUGGCAUACAUUUGACCUGGCAACUCACGGUCUUGGGCCUGCAGUUAUAAAAGGCACUUUUGAAUUAAUUGAUGCAUGUCUUAAAGAGAACAUGAAAGCAUUACAAUCAUGAAUUAGAACCAAUUUCAACUGUUUUGUCUGCUUACAUUAUGUUCAUAGUUAUAUACACUAGCUUCAUGCUUGAAACCUUGUUAUAUGCCUACUAACUACAAUAUGUGUUGGUUACUUUGUUGCUAAAAAUACAUUUGGGAUUGUUUUUUUUACUUUGUUAUGUACGUAUUUUAGUUUUUGAAUAUUGUUUUUGUGUGUACAAUGUAAUUGUAAAUAAAGAUUUACAAUCCUUUUUA